CCUACGGGAGGCAGCAGUGAGGAAUAUUGGUCAAUGGACGAGAGUCUGAACCAGCCAAGUAGCGGGAAGGAUGACUGCCCUAUGGGUUGUAAACUUCUUUUAUAUGGGAAUAAAACGUUCCACGUGUGGGAUUUUGUAUGUACCAUAUGAAUAAGGAUCGGCUAACUCCGUGCCAGCAGCCGCGGUAAUACGGAGGAUCCGAGCGUUAUCCGGAUUUAUUGGGUUUAAAGGGAGCGUAGGUGGAUUGUUAAGUCAGUUGUGAAAGUUUGCGGCUCAACCGUAAAAUUGCAGUUGAAACUGGCAGUCUUGAGUACAGUAGAGGUGGGCGGAAUUCGUGGUGUAGCGGUGAAAUGCUUAGAUAUCACGAAGAACUCCGAUUGCGAAGGCAGUUCACUGGACUGCAACUGACACUGAGGCUCGAAAGUGUGGGUAUCAAACAGGAUUAGAUACCCCAGUAGUC
rnacentral:rRNA from 1 species